GAGGAGUCUGUCUAAAAGGCAAACCAAGAGUGUUUAGUUCCAGAAGCCUAGAUAAGAGAUGGUUUCUACACACAAGAGUGUAGUCAGUAGUGGAGACUGCCACAGAGAGACCCAGCAUGAUGGGAAGGACCACAGGUGUCCACUGGAUUGACUGAGGACAACAGUGGGAGCAAUUCCAGUGAAGUUAUGUAGGCAAAUACUAGAUUGAAGUGAACUGAGGAAGGAGUGAGAUAUGAGAACGUGGGGACUCCAAGAUUUUCAUUAAAAAAAAAUUUCCAGACGUUGUUUAUCAAUCCAGGAGCUUGGCAAGAAAGGUCCACCUCUGUUCACACAUGGGACAGACAAGACCAGUUUCUGACUGCCAGUAACUUUUACAAAAGGAUGCUCACCUUUGGAACCAAGACACUAUUAUGUGAGGAAGCCCAAGCCACAUGGAGAGACCCACACGGAGGAACAAGGCCUUUGCCAACAGGCAGCACCAAUUAGCUAACUACACAAAUGAGCCACCUUGAAGGUGACUCCUCCAGCCCCACUCUAGCCUUCGAUGACUGCAAUCCUGGCUGACAUUUCACUGAACCUUCCUCAGAAAGCUCAGGCCAGAGCCACCCAGCCAAGGUGCCUGGGAUUCCUGAUCCACAAGAAACCAUUUGUGGUAAUAGUUAUAUUUUGUUGUUCUAAGCCCCUAUGUUUUGGGGUAAGUCACUAGGAUUUGUUUUGUAGCAUCAGAUAACUGAAAUGAAUGAUAAUAACAAAUUUAACAAAUACUAUUUAAACAUCUACCUCUGCCUGGGUUCUCAGUGCCUAGCACUGAAUCUAGGGGAACUAGUUUGAAGUAGUAAUCCUGAAAUCACUAAGCUACGGUGCCUUACACACAUCACAUGUAAUCCUCACAAAAAUCUUAUGCAGUAGGUGCUGAGAUUAGACCUAUUUUAACAGAUGAGGAAACUGAGGUCCAGAAGUCACACAGCUGGUAAGUGGCUGGCCUGGCACAAGAACGGAUGCAUUGCUAUCUCUGAGUCAUAUCUAAGAUGAUCUUCAGGAUCUAAAGAUAUCCUUUCCCAUUCCUCAGACUUCUUACCACAAUCUGUCCCAGCUCAGGAUACAUACAGGUGAAGGAUGGCAUGUCACCAACUAAGGGGGAUUAUCCUAUGAGCUUCUGGAUAACUUGCCACCUUUGCCCUUGCCCUGUCAACUAACUGCCCCACUGCCAGUCCACCUCAAUGUUGCUGUGCCUUUGAGGGUGUUGUCUGUGUCUGAAUUAAGAAGGUAGACUGUGGGAAGAAGAAGACAGAUCCUAUAGGGAGCAUCAUGCAUUAGGAAACAGAACACAGCUCUCAGGGUCCCCCAUUGGUGAUUUGUGCUUUAGCUGAUGUAAGCUGAGCCACUCAGAGCACCCACGGCUUCCACCCACCCAUGUGCUAAACCCCACCACCCUUUCCAAAAUUGUUCCACAGCCCCAUGCCCUUAGGAGCCUAGCAUUCCAAGCUUGAGGCUCUUUGGGGCCUCCACUUUCUUCCCAGGAGGGGUUUUCCAAUACAUGCCCAAUAUGCACGAGUUGGUACAUCCUUCCUUCC
rnacentral:lncRNA from 10 species